CCGUUCUCUCCCCCUUUCCUCCUUCCCCACCGUCGCUGCCGUCCUCCCCGGCACUCCCAAUCCCUUUCUCCUCCAUGCCGCACCGCCUCCCCAUCGUCGCAGCCGCCCCGUCGCCCCUGCUCGCCUGCAUCCACCACACCGCCUCCCUCCCCAGUCGAGACGGCGUCGCCUCCUCGCCCCCUUCGCAGCCAGAUUGACACCGCGCCGUUCAAUCCACCGCCUCAAGCACCAUGCAUCGUCGUCGUUGCAGGCGUCAGCACGGGCGCGGGCGCUGCCGAUCCCGAGUCGAGACGACGUCGUCCGCUGCUGCUUCUCCACCACUGACGGUUGCCCUGCGUAUAUCCUCCCUAUUAUCGCGGUCCCCACCUGCUCCUGAAUCCUGAUCCACAAAAACAGCGGAGCGCCGUCGGCCUCUCUGCCUCCCUGCGACCACCAGUGGCAUCUGCCCCGCCGUCGGCUCUCCCUCACCCGCGACUCGCCGACGAUGGUGCUCCACAAACCAUUCAGGCCGUCACUGGUCUCCGGAGCGCCCGAGGCCGACGUGUCUCGCACUCCCUAUAAUCUUGCUUUGCUGUAGCAGUAACAACAUCAUAACAUAUCGUGGUUCAUACAAUGGAUCAGGCUGGUAAUUCGAUUCCAAUUCUUGCUCCUGAACUUUUUUAUUGGUGAUAAUGUUCAGCAGAUUGGUUUGGUGGUGGCAGUGCGGCACCACUGAUUUGUGUUAGACAUUGGUCCUUAUCCAACCCUCUAAUCUCUUGAUUAUGCUCACUUACGAUGACUUCAGCUCAGGUGGUUGAAAGAAACACUCCUAGACUGCUAUUUAUUUUUACGUUACAGGGAUUUGGCUACAGAUAGUUGCAAGCUGCAAUGUUCUGAUAUUUGUUAUGUUUUAGAGCAAAAUCUGCCUUAUAUAUAAUGUUAUAAUUAGGCUUCGAAUUUCUUGCUUAUGUUCUUUAAAAAUUCCAAGUAACCUUUUCAGUUCUUUAUGUCAGGUUAAUUGACAGAUCGAGUUGCACUUACACAUAUCUUGUUUUAGGAAAUGCUCCAAUGGCCCUUGAAUCCAGCAAAAUUGGUAGUUCCUCUCGUCCUCCAGGCACCAGCUAUGGACAAUAUCUAUACCUCAAGGAAGCCUCUUCAUGUUCCCCUCAAUAUUUCUUUCUGGGUGCAUGCACUCUAUGCUUGCUAUGCAAAACCCAAUGUAUGUGAAUGUGAUCCUUAUGCUGCAAAGCUUAACCAUCUCAAUAAAGCUGAUGAAGACAAGGUGCUCGAUAUUCAGACGAUAUUGGUCAAGUAUAACAUAUUUCAUAUUGACCAGUGAGAAGCAUCCGAAAGAAGUAAACGAAUGAGCAUUGAGUUCCAGAAAAUGGUGUAUAGUAUAGAUGGAAUUAUGAAAAGCAUCUCU